AUCAUUCUUCUAUAGAAAGUUGUUGUUUUUUUUUCCCUAAUAACGUGUUUAUCACGCAGUCCUGCACAUUCACCCAUCCACACACACACAGAGCUCUUUAUACAGAGAAAAUCAGGCUGGCGCUGCAAAAGUGCAGAGAAGAUCUUUCGCUAAAAUGCUCUCAAGCAAACAGAGACAGCUAACCUGGAAGUUGGAAUGCCCAGUGUCUUCUCCAAAAUUAUCCAGACUGCUUUUGUUUGCAGAAGUCAGACUGUGCAAGCUGUUGGUGUGUGGCUUGUCCCGGUAAGUUAAGGAGAACAAUCUACUUGAGAGGUUUCCAAUUAUUCUUACUUCUGGUCAGGUUAGAUACACAAUUAGAUUGGAUCCCUGACAGGUUUUUGGCUCUUCCAGUUUCAAACCAAGCCUUUAUUAGUCCAAGAGCAUGCAGAUGGAAGUGAUUUAUUUUCUGUUAGCUGUUACAUGAAUUUGAUUGUCAACAAAACCUUUCUCAGCUUUCAGUGAGGUUUGGAGUCAGGCUUUGUAUCUGAGGUGGGCUGUCCACCUCAGCCAGAGUUCAAUUUGGCAGAGUCAGCUCAGCUGAUCAAAGCUCACAGAAUUUAACAUCAAAUAAUCCACACAAAGCUCUGAGACUCCACAUGUCACGGGAGAGGGACGUAUGGGCAGAGGUGACUCCUGGGAUCCCUCCUGCCUGUGGUUUCCUCUUCUGCCACCGUGCUGCCAGCUCUUCUCCAAAUAUCCCCAUUCCACUGGGCCUUGUCCUUUACUUUGUUGGCAAAUAAGGUAAAUGACCCCUGUUCUGGCUGCCCAUAUGCUGCUAACAUCACUGGUUUUGUUUCAGCAAACGGCAUGAGGAUGGCAUAGACAGAUGCCAAAAGUGAGGGCCCCCAUCAGCCCAGCAGCCCUGCUGUGAACCACCAAAGUGCCAGGAAUUGGAUAAAAGAAGGCACGAGGAACGGUGUGAGAAGCAGGGCUGCAGCUUUGCAGACGCCUUUGCAGAUGCGCAGACAGACGCGCUGCAUUGGGAGCAGCUCCUGGCAGGCUGCAAUGCUGCUGUCAAAACAGUGCUCAUUAGAAGAGCAGCUUAUUCUGGAGGGAAAACCUGCAGCAUGCAGAACAAAUAUCCUUGCUUGACGAGAACUGAGACCUUGCACUCUCAUUUCCUCUUGCAGAAGCGCUUAACAUAACCAGAAGGGCCCCUGCCAGGGAAGGCAGGUGUCUUUGCAUUUGGUUGUUUCUAGGGGUCAGAUUGCCUCAGCUCUUUCACUGUU
rnacentral:lncRNA from 1 species